UGCCUACCUGCUAGUCAGCCAAGAGUUUGCUCACUGGUGUUUUUCUUCUCCAAGUAGGGGGUGACACAUGGAGAAGAGGCCCUACCUGUCCCAGUCCUGGACUCCAUAGCCGCCUGGCAUGAUAAAAGGGCAGUUCGAAUCUUGCCCCUACUGGCUGUUGCAGGAAUGACCACGGGUGUCACCACUGACAGUAGGACUGGCCACCUCCCUAACCUUGUAUGGACUGCCAACUGCUGGCCACGGAGCUGGAGGCUAACAACUGUCAAGUGUGCCCUGACAGUGAAGACCAACUGCACCCCAGAAAUGAUGACACCCUCAGACAGCAGGAAGUAGCCUAAGGAACCAAUGUU
rnacentral:lncRNA from 1 species